AACAUCGCGCACCUGCGGGAACCUGCGGAAGGAUCAUUACCGAGUUAUACAACUCAUCAACCCUGUGAACAUACCUAUAACGUUGCCUCGGCGGGAACAGACGGCCCCGUAACACGGGCCGCCCCCGCCAGAGGACCCCCUAACUCUGUUUCUAUAAUGUUUCUUCUGAGUAAACAAGCAAAUAAAUUAAAACUUUCAGCAAUGGAUCU
rnacentral:misc_RNA from 1 species